GACCCGGGUUUCAGAACAGCAAGGGUGGGUCGGUGGCAGGGCACCGGGCAGGGCAGCGGGUAGAGGCGAGGGCCGCACUGGGCUCCUCUGGAAGGAGGCAAGGAAGCUAAGCAGGCAUUGCCUUAUAAUGAAAAGACCUCAGGAAUCAGUUUUUCCCAUAUUCACUUUCUCACUUCUCCAGCUCCAUUUCACAGAUGAGAGAAAUUGAGGCCCGAACGGAGAAGCGGCUGGCUCUGGAUAGCCCAGAGAGCCUGGGUUUCCGGACCCUCUUGGAAGAUGCUUCUCGGACCCUGAUCUACAAAUAUCAGGACCGAAAUUUAAAGCGGGCGCUCCUUUACAUCUGCUCCCCUGGGCUUUCUCAAUUCCUAAAUAAUGUUGCUGUUCGUGUUCCUGAGACCCGGAGGGCCUACCCAGAUCCCUCCCGGGUGGGAGCAAUUAAUUCGGGAAAGUCUAGUAAGUUUGGGGCUGGGUGGCUGGGAAGUGAACUAGAUAGAGCGCAGUGGAGUGAGGCUGCAUUCGAUUCCACCUUGAAUUUGCAGCUCCUUGCAAAAAUUUCCUGAACCUGCAACAGUUCGUGAUUUUUUAAUGUUUUUUCCCAUUUUUGGCUGCUUUUUAAAUUUUCUUCUCAAAGACCUCAGAGCAGGGUCUCCCUCCCACGGCGCGGCAGCUGCGGAGCUACAGUCUCCCCCCUCCCUUCCCGGGCCGGUCUGUGUCAGCGUCUGAACCAGCGGCUCAGACCGUUAGACGCCAGGCCUGUGACGUCACCCA
rnacentral:lncRNA from 1 species